GACGAACGCUGGCGGCACGCCUAACACAUGCAAGUCGAACGGAGUUAUGAGAGCUUGCUUUCAUAACUUAGUGGCGGACGGGUGAGUAACACGUGAGCAACCUACCUUUAAGAAAGGGAUAGCUUCUGGAAACGGAUGGUAAUACCUUAUAACAUAGAAAUACGGCAUCGUAUUUUUAUCAAAGAUUUUAUCGCUUAAAGAUGGGCUCGCGGCUGAUUAGCUAGAUGGUGAGGUAAUGGCUCACCAUGGCGACGAUCAGUAGCCGGACUGAGAGGUUGAACGGCCACAUUGGGACUGAGACACGGCCCAGACUCCUACGGGAGGCAGCAGUGGGGGAUAUUGCACAAUGGAGGAAACUCUGAUGCAGCGAUGCCGCGUGGAGGAAGAAGGUCUUCGGAUUGUAAACUCCUGUUAUCGGGGACGAAGAUGACGGUACCGACGAGGAAGCUCCGGCUAACUACGUG
rnacentral:rRNA from 1 species